GAUGAACGCUGGCGGCGUGCCUAAUACAUGCAAGUCGAGCGAACAGACGAGGAGCUUGCUCCUCUGACGUUAGCGGCGGACGGGUGGGUAACACGUGGAUAACCUACCUAUAAGACUGGGAUAACUUCGGGAAACCGGAGCUAAUACCGGAUAAUAUAUUGAACCGCAUGGUUCAAUAGUGAAAGACGGUUUUGCUGUCACUUAUAGAUGGAUCCGCGCCGCAUUAGCUAGUUGGUAAGGUAACGGCUUACCAAGGCGACGAUGCGUAGCCGACCUGAGAGGGGGGUCGCCCACACGGGAACUGAGACACGGUCCAGACUCCUACGGGAGGCAGCAGUAGGGAAUCUGCCGCAAUGGGCGAAAGCCUGACGGAGCAACGCCGCGUGAGUGAUGAAAGUCUUCGGAUCGUAAAACUCUGUUAUUAGGGAAGAACAAAUGUGUAAGUAACUAUGCACGUCUUGACGGUACCUAAUCAGAAAGCCACGGCUAACUACGUG
rnacentral:rRNA from 1 species